AACUGAUACUACCUGCGGGAACCUGCGGAAGGAUCAUUGUCGAUAUAUUCGAGGGAGACCUCGUUCAAUAUAUAAACAAACACCUCGUGCACCUCUACGUGAAAGGAAGUUGUAAAAGGCUUCCGUUCCGUAUUUUUCUUAUAAAUGCCUUCUGUCGUUUAACGCGUGUUAUGUUGAUAUAAUUUGAAACACAACUUUUAACAACGGAUCUCU
rnacentral:misc_RNA from 1 species